rnacentral:lncRNA from 1 species
AGCCUGGAAUUGACAUUCGAAGGGCUUGAUUAGUCUUCUGUGUAGAUCAGGGUAAAACACGUUUCUCCACUGGGGCUCUCCAGACCACGUAACAGAACAGCGCUGCCAGAGAGCUACUGUCUUGACCACGAGCAGGAAGUGGCUGCGCCCCUCUGGCUCCGGGACCACCUCACCUCUGUUACGAUCUGCACCAGCAAAAUGGAUGCCUCGUGCCUACCCCUCUUCCCACACAGCUCAGAGCCUCAGUCUCUUCAUUUACAAACUGCAGCACCCAGGAUGCCCUUGCCAGACUCACCUGGAAGAACAAUGUCAGAUUCAUCGUAGUCCAAUCCUAGGAGAUGCUUGACAACACAGAGGAUUGGUCUUCUAGGAGAACUGCCCGGAGGGUUUCUCUAGGACCUGUCAGUGGGUUUUAUCCAGUUUUUUAAAAAUGAACUACAAUAGAAUGAAGUGGAAUGGGAAACCAUCAGAGCCUGUUAUAAAGAUAAGUACUAUUUUGUGAAACUUUUGUUUCCAUUAUUUAUGUGGCUAUAUGUGUGUAUUGACACAUAAUGUGAAAUAUAUUUUUUUUUAUUGUAAGUAAUCUCUACACCCAACGUGGGGCUCGAACUCACGUCCCCAAGAUCAGUAGUUGCAUGCUUCACUGACUAAGGCAGCCAGGCACCCCAUGAAAUGUAUUUUUUAGUGUGAAUCAAGUCAAAAGGUUGAAGAAUGCUGCUAUAAGAAUUUAUAAUUUACCCCUGGAAUAAGCCAGACUAGUAAGAAGCUGUUACUUGAACAUUUCCGUAAUAACCAGUUAAACACAGUACAUACCUUCCCUCUCAUUUCUUACCUGAGAUAUCUAUGACCUUAAUGAAUUCCUCUGCUCAGGUAACAAGACUUACCAUUAUUCACUUAUUCAUUCAAUCAACAAACGUUUAUUGAGAUUGUUCAAGCCACUGAGAAUAUAAUGGUGGGAAAAAACUUGACAAGAAUCCCUGUCUUAAUGGAAGUUAUGUUCGAGAGUAGAGGGGGAAGUGCAGACAAUAAACAAGCUAUAAAUAGAAAAUGUUAAGUAAGU